rnacentral:tRNA from 1 species
AGAAAAAACUUGGAGUAAAGCAGGGCUGCUAACUUUGCUUUGGGUGAUUCAAUUUCAUCCUUUUUCUU